rnacentral:rRNA from 1 species
GGAGGAAGGUGGGGAUGACGUCAAGUCCUCAUGGCCCUUAUGGGUAGGGCUUCACACGUCAUACCAAAUGGUCGGUACAGAGGGUUGCCAACCCGCGAGGGGGAGCUAAUCCCACAAAGCCGAUCGUAGUCCGGAUCGCAGUCUGCAACUCGACUGCGUGAAGUCGGAAUCGCUAGUAAUCGUGGAUCAGCAUGUCACGGUGAAUACGUUCCCGGGUCUU